rnacentral:tRNA from 1 species
GGGUCGUUAGCUCAGUUGGUAGAGCAGUUGACUUUUAAUCAAUUGGUCGCAGGUUCGAAUCCUGCGUAUCCA